AUUGAACGCUGGCGGCAUGCUUUACACAUGCAAGUCGAACGGCAGCGCGGGAGCAAUCCUGGCGGCGAGUGGCGAACGGGUGAGUAAUGCAUCGGAACGUGCCCAGUGGUGGGGGAUAGCCCGGCGAAAGCCGGAUUAAUACCGCAUACGACCCAUGGGUGAAAGCGGGGGACCUUCGGGCCUCGCGCCAUUGGAGCGGCCGAUGUCAGAUUAGGUUGUUGGUGAGGUAAAGGCUCACCAAGCCGACGAUCUGUAGCUGGUCUGAGAGGACGACCAGCCACACUGGGACUGAGACACGGCCCAGACUCCUACGGGAGGCAGCAGUGGGGAAUUUUGGACAAUGGGCGCAAGCCUGAUCCAGCCAUGCCGCGUGCGGGAAGAAGGCCUUCGGGUUGUAAACCGCUUUUGUCGGGGAAGAAAUCCUCUGGGCCAAUACCCCGGGGGGAUGACGGUACCCGAAGAAUAAGCACCGGCUAACUACGUGCCAGCCGCCGCGGUAA
rnacentral:rRNA from 1 species